CUAUAAUUGAGAAAUGAAUGGUUUUUUUUCCCUUUGGGACACGUGAUUAGAUAAUGGCUUACCUGAGGAAUGAAGGGACCCAGUGAACGGGUGUUAAGGUGCACGGGUGAUCUGGGAGGUGAGCUCACCAUGCUGUCAUCGAUAAAAAUCUGCAUUAAAUCAGCUGAGAAGUAUCCAAAGGAAGCGGAAUUGAACGUGAAGUCAGACAGGCCCAUGGACAGCAUGUAGGCUGGAUUCUCAGCUCCUGUCAGUGCGAUGCUGAAACCUACAAUGGACAUCUUCAGUCCUGAGACGUCUUGGUAGAACUCUAUCGAUGGCUCCGCAAAAUCACACUUGGCUAUGGUGACACUUCAACAAAGAAGAAGACAAGAAAAAAAACAAGUUAAGUACACACUUCUAUUAAUAAAAUAGUGCAACAUGUUUUGCAUGUUUUACUUUAUUUUAAUUUUAUUUAGCUGCAUUGCAUUUCUUUUCAAACGUGACAUCAAACAUUGCUUGUAGUAGUAAAGGUUUCAUGAUGGCCACAGCUUGACCUUGGAACAGAUUAUUUAUAUUUCUAGCAUUAUUUCUUGUGGAAAAACUAGAAAGAACAAUGAAGUUACUUUUAAGUACACGGUCUGUUUUUAAUUUAUCCCACUCAUAGCCCGCCCCCGGGCAUGCCCACAAUACUGUGAUUGGUCACACGCCCAAAGUGCUUCCUAACUAUGAACCAUAUAAGGAAGUCUGUCCCUCUGUGACAUCACAAAGGGUCACUUUAACCACGCCUUUUGAAACCAAGUGUUUUGAACCAUCCCAAACUUCUUUCAGUGCUCACUUCUAAAUGCAGA